CAGAAAGUAGUUUAAUUAAAAUAUUAGUUUUGGGGAUUAGUGAUAGGGUUGAUUCCUUCUUUCUGA
rnacentral:tRNA from 1 species